rnacentral:miRNA from 1 species
UCCCCAACCCCUGCCCGCAG